rnacentral:lncRNA from 1 species
CUCCUAUUCCUUCAUAUAGUUUUACAAAAAUACAAAUUCCUAACAAGUACAUAAACGAUCUGCAGCCAACUUUGCUAAGUGACAAUAACUAUGCUCAAUAAAAAAAAAAAAAAUGAAAAAGAAAGGAAAAUUUGUACUUACAUUAAUCCCUUCCUUUCUGCAGAAUGUAUUACAUCAAAAUCAGAGGAAAAAGUUGAAUAAAAAGAAAAAAACUAUAGCUCAUCGCCGUUACUCCGGCGGCAUAAUGGACAAGUUCGAUUAAUUUCCAACCAUAUUUUGAUACAAUCAAAAUGAAAUAUAUGGCUGCACACCGGAAGACGCCCUAACAGUUCCCGGUUUUCGUAUUCCGAUAGACAGAUAGAGCAUUCACGUUCCCCAUCUGCAGCUUCUUCGAUAUAAACAUCGAUUACUACUUCAUACUUCUUCCCUUCCUCCUUCGUCUGGGAUCGCGUUGAAUUCUGUGCACCUGGUGGCGGGCUUGGUGGCGCUGCUGGUGGUGGAAGACGGUUUAGGACUGGCGCGGCUGCCGACGUUGGAUGGUAUAGGAUCGGUAUAAUGCGAACUGACGGUGGACGACGGUUUACGACAGGCAGCUCCAAUACUGUCUCCUCGUGCGGUGAAUUAUCACUAUUCUUAAAACAUGCUGAGACAAUAAACACCACAAGAGAUAUUAUAAUUUCUAUGACAAAUAACGCAAUUAAAGACGACAUGUUUAAAGAAGGAAGAAGGGGAAAGAGAGAGAUUAAAGCAGACCUAAU